CGCUGCGAUGCGGUGAGAGUAGGGCAUCACCGCACCUCCGCGAGUGAGAGAUCCGAGCGCGAUAGGGAGACGACAAGGCGCCGAGCUACGGCUGCAGCUGGCAGUGAGCGUGCGUUCCUUCGUCGGAUGUCUCUGAUCCUAUUCGUUCAAUCGAGUUCUGAUACUGGUUCUGAAUGAUGGAUGGUAAUUCCCACGGUGUCAAUGGCUUGAUAGAGCAGCAUGUGGAUCUCGAGGAUGAUAGCAUAAACUUCUGGACAACAUUGGGUGUCAGUCCUCAUGUCCAUGUUGUGGAACCUGAGCAUCAUCUUGUGCCUCAGCAUCAACACCACCACAUAGAGCAGCAGCAGCAACAGCAACAACAACAGCAGCCUCUUGAACUGGUGGAGCAGUCAGUCCGAAGAGAGCUUUUUGCAGUGGAAGGGGAUCCAAGGAUAGAACCAUUUGUUGGUAUGGAGUUUGAAUCUGGGGAGGCUGCAAAGACGUUCUAUAUAGCUUAUGCUGGACGUGUGGGCUUCUCUGUUCGUAUUGCCAGGUCACGACGGUCGAAAUGCAAUGAGUCCAUCAUCAUGCUGCGAUUUGUGUGCUCGAGAGAAGGUUUCAGCAGAGAGAAGCGCAUCAUUGCUGGCAAGAAGACAAGGAAGCGGGCUGCUUCCAUCAGAGAAGGGUGUAAGGCUAUGCUCGAGGUGAUUCGAAGAGGCGAUGAGAGGUGGGUCGUGACGAAGCUUGUGAAGGAGCAUAAUCACGAGGUCGGUAUGCCAAGCAGGGUGCAUUACAUUGCCACGGAGGGAGAUGCUGUGAUGGAUCCAUAUAUUGGGAUGGAGUUUGAAUCUCUUGAAGUUGCCAAGACAUUUUAUUAUGCAUAUGCAAGCCGUGUGGGCUUUGAAGCUCGUGUUCGACAGUCACGCCGUUCUUUGCAUGAUGAAUCACUUAAAAUGUUGAAACUUGUUUGCUCAAAGCAUCGCUACCAUUCAGGAAGGGAUAAUGGUAGUGAUGAAAACAAGAGGGUGCAGAAUCAAGAUCCAUCCAAAGAAGGUUGUGAUGCAUUAUUUGAGAUAAUUCGGAAAGAUUCUGACAUUUGGAUCGUUUCCAAACUCGUGCUGGAGCAUAAUCAUGAACUGAAACCUUCUCCGCCAAGCAAGGUUCGAUGCAUCCGCUCUCAAGGAGAGAUACUAGUUAUUGCGAAAAACUUUGCUGAUACCCGCAAUCUUCUAUUAAAUGGCCAAGGCUCGCAGUAUCCUAGAGAGAUUCGAUAUAAUGAUUUUGGGCCAGAUGAUGCUCAAAGUCUGCUUGAAUACUUUAAGAAAACACAAAUAGAGAACCCUGCCUUUUAUUAUGCAGUGCAUAUUGAAAACAAUAAUUGCAUGACCAACAUCUUCUGGGCUGAUUCUAAAGCUCGUAUGGCUUACUACUACUUUGGUGAUGCUGUUAGGUUUGAAACAAAAUACAGAAAUGACAAGGAGCUAAUGCCUAUUGUUAUGUUCACAGGUGUUAACCAUCAUUUACAACCAGUAGUUUUUGGAUGUGCCCUGCUUGUAGAUGAGACAGAGGCAUCAUUUGCCUGGCUUUUCGAGAAUUGGCUUGCAGCGAUGCCUGCACUGCCUCCUGUAUCAUUGAUUACUGAACUAAACAGGACGAUUACAUCAGCAGUUGCUAAGGCAUUGCCACAAACUCGCCAUUGUUUUUGCAAGGCACAUGUCUUAAGUACCAUCCAAUAUGAAUUGCCUGAUUUGUUUUCAGAACAUGUUCCUUUUGAAGGAGAAUUGAAUACAUGCAUUGAUGAGUCUGAAACAACUGAAUUAUUUGAAUCAUGCUGGGUUGCAUUGAUAAAUAAGUAUGGUCUGAAGGAGAAUGCUUAUAUGCAGUCAUUAUACAAUAUACGUCAGCAGUGGGUCCCUGUCUUUGUAAAGCAAACCUUCCUUGCAGAAGUCCCUGGAUCACAAAGAUGUGGAAACUUUGACAAAGUUAUCGAAAAAUAUUUCACAACAAAGACCCUUCUACGGGUGGCUGUUAGGCAACUAUCUCAGAUGCUUGCAAGUCAGUAUGAAAAAGAAGCGCAAGCAGAGUUUGUUACAUUGUUUGAGAAGCCAUUUUUGAGGACUGCUUCACCAAUGGAAAAGCAGGCAGCUGGUAUCUACACGAGAUCAAUUUUUGACAGGUUUCAAGAGGAAUUUGUUGAAUCUUUGGGUUAUCAUGUGGAUAAAAUAGAGGAUGGGCCUAUUAGCAAAUAUAGAGUGAUGAGAAAUGAGGAAGAUGAUGAAGCAUACAGUGUUUAUUUCAAUGUCACUGAGAACAAAGCACACUGUGGUUGUUGUAUGUUUGAGUUUUCUGGCAUUCUGUGUAGACAUGCGCUAAGAGUCUUUAUAGUUAAUGGUGUUCGCACACUCCCAAAUGAUUACAUCUUAAAACGGUGGACAAAACAUGCUAAGAGCGGCUCUGUCUUAGAUGACUAUGGUAUUGAACUCAGAGGUUACUCUGAUGACCCUUCAAUAGCACGAUAUAAUGAUCUCUGUCGUGAUGCCAUACGAUGUGCCAGAGAGGGGGCAACGUCCACUGAAUUUUAUACUGUUGCGAAGGACUCUCUCCAGAAGGCUGUAAAUGAGAUAGUGUCGACAAAGCAAAAGAGAGGGCAGCAAACUCUGCAGAGUUUUAUUGCUUCACAGAAGAAGCAAACUAAAAAGGUUGCGAAGAUCACUCCUAGCAAAGAUGCUUCCAGCAAGAACUUGAGGAAGCUAACAUCGAUAAAACUGCUGUCUGAGAAUGACAUCAGAUGAUACAGUGUGACACAGAGCGUUCUAAAUUCUAAUGAUUGUCACGGUACAGGCCUCAAAAGUUGAAUGAAGUGUUUGUUGCUUUCAUGGGACGAUUCAACUUUUCUUGCUUUCUUGGAAUGCUGAGCCUCACUGUCAGUGGUCCAGUUUAUUAAAUUGCAAUAUAUCUGUCAAGGUGUCACCUUGUAGAAAACUAUUACUCGUGAAGCGUGUCUAUCGACGCUGUGAAACUAGACUCCUCUCUGUUCUUACUAGAAGCUGCUAUAUAUAUAUGUAGGUUUUGGCCGAAAGUGAUAAUUGUAGUUAGCCCUUAAGAGUUACACGGUUGCUAUUCUGAUUCAUCAAUCUUGCACCAGAGUGUGUGAUGUGUUUUGGUUGAAUUAAUUCUUUGGCAGAUGCCACAUUUUCUCCUUGUGGCACAUGGUAAUAGUUUCUUCUCUGCAUAUUCAUACUCAGCCAAGGUUCUGUUCUGAAAACCAUUACUCAUGCAACCAAUGAUAGAUGUAGAUGUUUUAAUCAAGGAUCCUCGCCAUUUUAAGCUCCUUAUCUGUGAACUGCGUGUUGCUUCCACAUGUAUAAAGCUUCGGUUUCCUGUGUAUUAGGUAGUUUUGGUUUGAAACUUUUGACACGUUGUGUUAAUACUUAAUACAUUGGAUCCAGAUUUAGAGUUAUAUUCUAGUAGCAACCAGAUCCGACCAUCCUUAUUGAACCAUGAUAUUUCACCAUAGUGAUGUUUGAUAGCCACCCUUUUCUAGCAAAUCUUUUUGACUUUUAUAGUUGUCAUUCGAAUUAAUGGAGUUUGCUUCUUUAUGCAGUUUUGAAGAGUUCCCUAUCAUUCUCACCUACUUCAUAUGAUUUUUAAGGUCUCAUUGUUUCUCUUUUGUGUUACAUGCAGAAAAUAUGUUUAAUUUAUAAUAUUUUUUUUAGUAUUUGGAUUCUUUUAAUUGGUCACAACUUAAUUCUUUGUCAGUAUGGAUACUCGGCACUUCUGAAUGUGAGAAUUCUUUUAUUAUACUCUUUAGACCUCAAAUCAAUAGUUUUAGUUAAUUAUGGUAGUUACAGAGCCAAGUCUUAGCCUCUCAUCGUGGUGAUGUCAUGCUUGAAAUUUUUUUACACGAUGUGCAUUAUUCAAGUCUUUUAUGUCCUUUCUUCCUUAUAAUUCUCGAUUGGCUUCUGCUUUCCUUUUUCUCAAAAUUUGAGGAAUGCUUCAGAUUGAUGAUGGGUAUGAGACAACUUAACAAGCUGGUUAAGAUUACAUUAAGAACUGCACCUUAAGAAUUCAACAAUGUUCAGUUAAGGCAAUGGCAAAUGCAGAUUUGAAGUACUUGAGUAAUCAGUAGAUAUUUUUUUGUGUAAAAUUACAAUACUAGGAACAUUUGUUUAGGAAGACUUUUUCCAAGUAGGAUCUGUCCCCUAGUCAUAUUAAACCAUGUGAUUCUUUAUGGGCUUCUAUAUGACAUUGUGAUGUUUGGUUAAAAUUCUACUUUAAAUACUAAUCAUGUGGUUUGAAAAUAAAUUGGUUAGACAAAAAAAAUACCACAGAAACAUUUCAUGGUGGAUAAAAAGAUUAAUUAGUGAAGGGAAUGUCACAUAAAUGGAGGGAAAACACUGGUAUAAAGUAGAUUUAAGAGGUUGUCAUAGUUGUAUGUGGAGUUAAACUUGUGAGUCAUAGCAUGCAACCUCAAAGAGUAAAUUAGCAAAGAUUAAGAUUAAAAAUGAGCAUAUUUAAACUUCAGUGUGUUUUAUGCCAAGAAAGAUCAAACUCAAUGGAUGGUAUUUUACUUAUUUCUAUUGAUCCAGGAGUAGCACAUGCUGAGGUUUCCAGUAACUAAAUUGCUGAGUAUUAGAACAUAUUUUUCUGUACUAACCAUGUAGCUGAUCUUUGAGAUUUACUAUUUUGUUGUUGUUGUUGUUAUGCUAACAUCAAUUAUGAAUUCUUAUCAAUUUGUACCAGUUAGGAAUGAUUUUACCAGGCAUGUUUACAAUGUAAUUCAGUAUCAGCUAAUGUCCUUCAGAUGAAGGUAAUGGUUUGUGAUAGGAUGAUCAAGAAAUAUGAAGAAGUUAUCCUCUUUUUUUAUA